ensembl:lncRNA
UGUAUAUUUUGUCCUGAUCUGUGUAUUUAUUGUUCUGUCCUGUGUAUUUAUUGUUCUGUCCUGUGUAUUUAUUGUCCUGUGUAUUUAUUGUCCUGCGUUUUGUAUUUAUUAUCCUGUGUAUUUAUUGUCCUGUUUAUUUAUUGUUCUGUCCUGUGUAUUUAUUGUCCUGUGUAUUUGUUGUUCCACGUUUUGUAUUUAUUGUCCUGUGUAUUUAUUGAUCUGUCCUGUGUAUUUAUUGUCCUGUGUAUUUAUUGUUCCAUCCUGUGUAUUUAUUGUCCUGCGUUUUUUUUUUGUAUUUAUUAUCCUGUGUAUUUAUUGUCCUGUGUAUUUAUUGUUCUGUCCUGUGUAUUUAUUGUCCUGUGUAUUUAUUGUUCCAUCCUGUGUAUUUAUUGUCCUGCGUUUUUUUUUGUAUUUAUUAUCCUGUGUAUUUAUUGUCCUGUGUAUUUGUUGUUCCGCGUUUUGUAUUUAUUGUCCUGUGUAUUUAUUGUCCUGUGUAUUUAUUUUUCUGUCCUGUGUAUUUAUUGUCCUGUGUAUUUAUUUUUCUGUCCUGUGUAUUUAUUGUCCUGUGUAUUUAUUGUCCUGUCCUGUGUAUUUAUUGUCCUGUCCUGUGUAUUUAUUGUCCUGUGUAUUUAUUGUCCUGUGUAUUUAUUGUCCUGUGUAUUUAUUUUUCUGUCCUGUGUAUUUAUUGUCCUGUGUAUUUAUUUUUCUGUCCUGUGUAUUUAUUGUUCUGUGUAUUUAUUGUCCUGUGUAUUUAUUGUCCUGUGUAUUUAUUUUUCUGUCCUGUGUAUUUAUUGUACUGUGUAUUUAUUGUCCUGUGUAUUUAUUUUUCUGUCCUGUGUAUUUAUUGUCCUGUGUAUUUAUUUUUCUGUCCUGUGUAUUUAUUGUUCUGUGUAUUUAUUGUCCUGUGUAUUUAUUUUUCUGUCCUGUGUAUUUAUUGUCCUGUGUAUUUAUUUUUCUGUCCUGUGUAUUUAUUGUCCUGUGUAUUUAUUGUCCUGUGUAUUUAUUUUUCUGUCCUGUGUAUUUAUUGUCCUGUGUAUUUAUUGUCCUGUGUAUUUAUUGUCCUGUCCUGUGUAUUUAUUGUCCUGUGUAUUUAUUGUCCUGUGUAUUUAUUGUCCUGUGUAUUUAUUGUCCUGUCCUGUGUAUUUAUUGUCCUGUGUAUUUAUUGUCCUGUGUAUUUAUUUUUCUGUCCUGUAUAUUUAUUGUUCUGUCCUGUGUAUUUAUUGUCCUGCACAUGUCUCACACUGUUGUGUAUUUGCACAUUAUAUAGUCUUGUGUACUGUUAUGUGUUACACCAUGGUCCUUGUUCCAAGCUAAAUACAAGCUAAAUAGUGGAAUGACAGUUAUAACCCACUUGACUUGACUUGAAAACCCCUUGUGCUAGCCACUUAACACAUAACUUAUUGAAGCCAGAUUCGUUUUUUCAGCAACGUGCCCUGAAUAGCAACAGUAACCACACACCGAGGCUUGGAAUUAAUCAAUUACUCUUUAGUUGUUUACAGACAUUUC